UCAUCAAAAGUACAGAAGGGAGACCGGGGCAGUGUUGAUGGAUUGGAUUUGUAUGUCCUUGCUGCUGGAAUCACUGCAGUAGAUUUUAGAAGCUGAAAAACUUAUUUGUAAGCUACUGGACAGCUCACAAAUCUGUGGGAGAAGCCCCCAGCCGAGACCAAUGCCCACAGCGUGCUGCAAAGACGUCAUCUCUGGACACCGGUUGCUGCAGUUUGCACUGCUGCGAUCCCGGGCAUCGAUGCGCCAGCUGCCAUGAUUGCUACUGCCAGUACCACCCACCUCCAAGAUCCGUCUGAUGAAUGGGGAUUGCUGGAGUGCGUGAGUCCACCCCUGGCUGAGGAGUUCGGGACUUGAUGCUGUCUGCUUAGCAAUGAGAGGUGGCCUAGCAGAUCAUGUUCUUCCAACCUUGGAAAGAGGCUGAGAUACUAGGAGACCAGAAGGAAUGGAAUGUGUCUGGCUCUACCAGAACUAUGACACAUGCUGGUGACUUUUACAAACCAAUAAUGCUUUUUGUAAAGGAGUCCAAUCGAUGAGAGAGAGGAGGGAUUCUAUGAGCAAGGGACAUCGAGAUCAUGAUGGGGAAAUGUACAGA